rnacentral:rRNA from 1 species
GACAGAGGCCUCAAGCGUUUAGGCGGAAUCACUGGGCUUAAAGCGUGUGUAGGCGGACUUCUAAGUGCCUUGUGAAAUCCCACGGCUCAACCGUGGAACUGCUGGGCAUACUGGGGAGUCUUGGGCCAUUCAGGGGCAACUGGAACAAGCGGUGGAGCGGUGAAAUGCGUAGAUAAUCGCUUGGAACGCCGAAGGUGAAAACAGGUUGCUGGGGAUG